AACGAACGCUGGCGGUAUGCCUAACACAUGCAAGUCGAACGAAGCCUUCGGGCUUAGUGGCGCACGGGUGCGUAACGCGUGGGAAUCUGCCCUUGGGUUCGGAAUAACAGUUAGAAAUGACUGCUAAUACCGAAUGAUGUCUUCGGACCAAAGAUUUAUCGCCCAAGGAUGAGCCCCGCGUCGGAUUAGCUAGUUGGUGAGGUAAAGGCUCACCAAGGCGACGAUCCGUAGCUGGUCUGAGAGGAUGAUCAGCCACACUGGGACUGAGACACGGCCCAGACUCCUACGGGAGGCAGCAGUGGGGAAUAUUGGACAAUGGGCGAAAGCCUGAUCCAGCAAUGCCGCGUGAGUGAUGAAGGCCUUAGGGUUGUAAAGCUCUUUUACCCGGGAUGAUAAUGACAGUACCGGGAGAAUAAGCCCCGGCUAACUCCGUGCCAGCAGCCGCGGUAAU
rnacentral:rRNA from 1 species